rnacentral:rRNA from 1 species
GAUGAACGCUAGCGGCAGGCUUAAUACAUGCAAGUCGUGGGGCAGCAUGAGUGUAGCAAUACAUUUGAUGGCGACCGGCAAACGGGUGCGGAACACGUACACAACCUUCCUAUAAGUGGGGAAUAGCCCAGAGAAAUUUGGAUUAAUACCCCGUAACAUAAUGAUGUGGCAUCACAUUAUUAUUAUAGCUUCGGCGCUUACUGAUGGGUGUGCGGCUGAUUAGAUAGUUGGCGGGGUAACGGCCCACCAAGUCUACGAUCAGUAGCUGAUGUGGACGAAUGGUCGGCACCACGAGAACUGAAACACGGACCCUGCUACUACGGGAGGGAGCAGUAAGGAAUAUUGGUCAAUGGACGGAAGUCUGAACCAGCCAUGCCGCGUGAAGGAUUAAGGUCCUCUGGGUUGUAAACUUCUUUUAUCUGGGACGAAAAAAGGCGAUUCUUCGUAACUUGACGGUACCAGAUGAAUAAGCACCGGCUAACUCCGUGCCAGCCGCCGCCGUAAGAC